CCUACGGGAGGCAGCAGUCGAGAAUCAUUCACAAUGGGGGAAACCCUGAUGGUGCGACGCCGCGUGGGGGAAUAAAGGUCUUCGGAUUGUAAACCCCUGUCAUGUGGGGGCAAAUUAAAAGAAUAGUACCACAAGAGGAAGAGAGGGCUAACUCUGUGCAAGCAACCGCGGUAAUACAGAGGCGUCAAGCGUGUUUCGGAAUCACUGGUCGUAAAGGGUGCGUAGGCGGUUUCGUAAGUGUGUUGUGAAAGGCGGGGGCUCAACCCGCGGAGGGCAAAUGAUACUGCGAGACUAGAGUAAUGGAGGGGGAACCGGAAUGCUCGGUGUAGCAGUGAAAUGCGUAGAUAUCGAGAGGAACACUCGUGGCGAAGGCGGGUUCCUGGACAUUAACUGACGCUGAGGCACGAAGGCCAGGGGAGCGAAAGGGAUUAGAUACCCCAGUAGUC
rnacentral:rRNA from 1 species